AUAUUAUUAAGCGGAGGAAAAGAAACUAACUAGGAUUCCCUUAGUAAUGGCGAAUGAACAGGGAAGAGCUCAAUGCCCAAUCGUAUAUCGCAAGACUUACGACAUGUGGUUUUGGUGGUUGGCCAGUGGUCGGUCUGGGGAAAGUCCCUUGGAAAAGGGCGCCAAGGAGGGUGAUAGCCCCGUUCAUCCCUAGAUUCGUGCUACGUACGGUCGCUGCUGAAGGAGUCGCGUUCCUUGGGAUAGGAGCGCAAAUGGGUGGUAAGUUCCAUCCAAAGCUAAAUAUGACCAUGAGACCGAUAGCGCACAAGUA
rnacentral:rRNA from 1 species